AGAUACGAGGACUAUUUUCGACAUUUGUCACCCAAUUGCUCACCAAGUUUGACUUGACUGAUCAAGCUAGCUAGGUGGGUGUCCUCUUUCUCUCUUACUAUUCCAUGUGCAUCCCUCCUGAAUCUGUGUGCCUGAUCAUGAAGAAAGAGCUUCCCUGAAUAGAGGAGGACUGCUCUUAAGUUGAGAAUACAUAAGUAGCUUCUCUCCUACUAUAAUCUCCAAAAAAUAGCUCUCAAAUGAGAGCCCAGAAGGCUAGGAAACAGGAAUACUUAAAUCCCUACAGGCAACUUCUGAGAGAGCAAUGU
ensembl:misc_RNA 7SK 7SK RNA